rnacentral:siRNA from 1 species
GGAAAGGUGCAACUCUUCGGA